rnacentral:lncRNA from 1 species
CCCCAUGGCACCCAGGUGGUAUCAUUUCUGUGUGCCAUAGGAUCCUUCUUUAUCCCCUUAACCUGGACACAGUUUGGCAGUGUCCCCUCUGAAGAGCAUCCCCGUCCUUCUCCAAGGGGGCCGUGGCUCCUGAGAUGGCACUGUUGGGCUGUGGGCGGCAAAUCUGGGCCGCCGUGCUGCUGAGGAUUGUGUGCUCACGCU